rnacentral:rRNA from 1 species
GACGAACGCUGGCGGCGUGCUUAACACAUGCAAGUCGAGCGGUAAGGCCCUUUCGGGGGUACGACGAGCGGCGAACGGGUGAGUAACACGUGGGUGACCUGCCCUCCAGCUCUGGGAGUAAGCCUGGGAAACCGGGUCUAAUACUGGAUAUGACUCCAUGACGCAUGUUGUGGGGUGGAAAGCCUUGUGCGGCUGAGGAUGGGCCCGCGGCCUAUCAGCUUGUUGGUGGGGUGAUGGCCUACCAAGGCGACGACGGGUAGCCGGCCUGAGAGGGCGACCGGCCACACUGGGACUGAGACACGGCCCAGACUCCUACGGGAGGCAGCAGUGGGGAAUCUUGCGCAAUGGGCGAAAGCCUGACGCAGCGACGCCGCGUGAGGGAUGACGG